UGUGGGGACAGAGAGCUUAUGCUUUCUUGGGAUAGAAAUCUAUUUCAGCUCAAGCUGAAGGCCACGGUCUUGACCAGCCAGAAGGGCAUGAUCUGAGAAGAUGGAGAGCUGAGGGGCCAUGCCCAGGAAGGGGAAUCAUGGUCAGUGAGGCAAAGAGCUUCCUGAAGGAACUUCGGACGGGUGGAGCUCACUGCCCCUGCUCUUCAGUCCUGCCAGUUCAGCCCACCGUCUUAGAAAUCAUAAAGAUACAAGGCGAGGAAGGAAGUGAGGAAGUAUCCUCUCUACUCCCGUGGGGUUGAUGCCAACCUGCUCCUGCUUCCUGACCUGCUUGAGUUCCAGUCCUGACUUCU